AAGGUCCUGUUUUGUUCGCGGACCGUUGCUUAUAUAACCCUACACUUUUAAUUUUUGGGGCAAUACUCUCGUGUAAUGGGAAUGCAGACCUCCCGCGGCUGUGCCGAGUUCGGAAGAAGGGAGCUCGAAGUUACGCGGUGUGCACCCACCUGCUGUACUGCAGGUUAUCAUUAAGCACUUUACGGCAAAACGGGAUCUCG
rnacentral:other from 1 species